UAAGACGUAGGGGGCGAGCGUUGUCCGGAUUUAUUGGGCGUAAAGCGCGCGCAGGCGGCCCGUUAAGUCGGUUGUGAAAACCCGAGGCUCAACCUCGGGCCUGCAUCCGAUACUGGCGGGCUUGAGGCAGGUAGGGGAGAGUGGAAUUCCCGGUGUAGCGGUGAAAUGCGCAGAUAUCGGGAGGAACACCGGUGGCGAAGGCGGCUCUCUGGGCCUGUCCUGACGCUCAGGCGCGAAAGCUGGGGGAGCAAACAGGAUUAGAUACCCUGGUAGUCCCAGCCGUAAACGAUGGGUGCUAGGUGUGGGGGGAUAUCGACCCCUUCCGUGCCGAAGCUAACGCAUUAAGCACCCCGCCUGGGGAGUACGGCCGCAAGGCUA
rnacentral:rRNA from 1 species